rnacentral:piRNA from 1 species
UGCUUUCAGCUGGUUAUGAGGCCUUGGG